AUCCCUAAUGGUAACGCCAUGUUUUGAUCAACAGCUGACAACUGCCGCCGCUGCUUCUCUUUCUGGAGGAGGUUACACCGACCAUCACCACCACUACCACCACCAACCGCUGUCACCGCUGGUUAAGAAGAACGUGAGAAGAGGUCGAGGAGUUGAAGAGACUGAUCGGUGUGACAACAGGAGAGGAGCUUUAACGUUACUAGUUCUUCAGACCAUCAUUGCGAACUUGGGACGACCGCUACCCACCGAAUGGUAGGACAUCCGAGACUGCUACUCCAAUCACUGUAAUUUUGAUUGUAGCCAGGGUUUGGACGUUGUUGAGACAAAUGGAUAAUAGGCAUUACAUUUGGGUUAGCUGAAUGAGUACUUUCAUUCUUUUCAGGAAUACUGGAUUUUGAUGGUUUAGGAUUUGUUUGAUGCAAAAAAUGAGUAGAAUCAGUCAUCAAAAAGAUAAAUAUGGCUUAGAUUAUGAGCUUUCCAGAGAUAACUGUAAUGAAGGAACUGCUGCUCGGACAAGACCUUUUAGCUUUGAGGAGAUUAUGCUAAGAAGGCAAAACAAGAAACCGACUUCAGAUGCCAAAGAGGGAACUGGAGAGCUAGGGAAGCUAUCAGUAUCAGGAAAAGAUAAUGUUGAAAGUACUCAUUCUGAAGCGGCUGGAGGUUACAAAUGGAGUAAGGAUGCUAUUGCUAUGAAUGCUUCAGAGGAUACUGCCAAGCGAAUCUCAAAAAAUCAAGAAGGAAAUACACCCAUAAAGAAAAGUAAGCUCGUUAAAGAUAAGGAUGAUGGGAGUCAUGACAUAGAAAACAAAUUGUCAGCAAGAUCCAACAAUAAUAUGGGCAGUAGAUCCAAAGGGGACAAGAAUGAAAAGCAGAGUCAACUCAAAAGCAGAAGUUAUGACCGAAUGAGGGAUUAUUUUGAAGAUGAAUCUGAGAAGAGGCAUUCCAAGAAUACAACAGUGAAGGACAAAUAUUCAGACAGAGAUAGAGGAAAAUCUGAAAGAGAAACCAAAAGAAAGCAACGGACAGGAGAUGAUGAGAAGAAAAGGUCAGAUAUAAAUGGGAGUGAUGUAAAGAAAUAUGAUUCUGGCAAAUGGCAUGAUUCAUCAGAACCUUCAGAAAGAAAGGGCAGGAAAGAGUCAUCUCAGUCCCGUUAUGAUGAAGGCAGGCAGAAACGAAGGAGGUCAAGGAGUCGUGAACAUGAUAGGGAUAGAGACAGGAGGUCUCAUUCACUUUCACCCAGGUCACACAAGCGUUCAUCUUAUCAUGGGCAGGAGCAUGGGGAUUCUUCAUUUAAUUCUUCCAAGGACAGGCCAAGAAAACAGCAUUCUGAUGCAGAUAGGCAUAGGACAUCAAACAAUGGAUAUCCAAGUAGCCACCAUCGUCGACAUGGUGGUUCUACAAGUGGGCUUGGUGGCUAUUCACCCCGGAAGCGAAGAACUGAGGCAGCUGCUAAGACUCCUUCGCCAACUGUCAGGUCACCAGAGAGGAAAACUGUUGGAUGGGAUCUUCCACCUAAGGAUACAGACAAUGCAUCUGCUGGUUCCUUGCUAGUUAAUUUUCAGUCUUCAAAUCAAACUGUAACAACAAAUAUAGAACUGCCAAAUGUUGUUCAAGCAACAUUAAAUGUGGCAAGAGCCCUUUCUGGAGUUUCUCCAAAUACAUUAUCAAUGACCAAAACUGAAUCCAUUGACUCAAUUCAACUUACACAAGCAACCCGGCCUAUGAGAAGACUUUAUGUAGAAAAUGUACCGGCCUCAGCCUCUGAUAAAGCUGUAAUUGAAUGUGUAAAUGGUUUUCUGCUGUCUUCAGGUGUUAACCAUAUCCAAGGAACUCAUCCAUGCAUAAGUUGUAUUAUAAACAAAGAAAAGGGCCAUGCUAUUUUGGAAUUUCUUACAGCAGAAGAUGCCACAGCAGCUCUUUCUUUUGAUGGAAGAUCUUUCUCAGGCUCUAUUCUAAAAAUCAGACGCCCCAAAGACUUUGUUGAAGCAGCAACUGGAGUCCCACAGAAACCAGUGGCCACCUCAGCUGAUGCCAUAUCUGACAUUGUAAAUGAUUCCCCACACAAGAUAUUCAUUGGUGGAAUUUCAAGGGAUCUCUCAUCUGAUAUGCUUAUGGAGAUCGCUGGUGCCUUUGGACAUCUGAAGGCAUUCUGCAUUCAUGUUAAUGAAGAUUUGAAGGAACAAAUUGCUUUUCUGGAGUAUGUAGACAAGUCAAUCACCCUUAAGGCAUGUGCUGGACUGAAUGGAAUGAAGUUGGGUGGACAGAUCCUUACUGUAGUUCAGGCUGUGCCUGAUGCAUCUUCGGAGCAGGAAAAUACUGAGAAUCCACCAUCCUAUGAGAUUCCUGAUCAUGCAAAGCCACUGCUUGACAAACCCACACAAGUCCUGAAGCUCAAAAAUGUGUUCAAUCAAGAAGAGCUUGCAUCUCUUUCUGGACCUGAACUCGAAGAAACUUUGGAAGAUAUACGGUUGGAGUGUGCCAGGUUUGGGACUGUCAAGUCUGUUAAUAUUGUCAAGGAUAGAAGCAAUUAUGCCUUUGCUCUUGGAACAUCUGAGGUUACUAGUCAGAAUGAUUCAAGGGACCUGCUAUACCCAGAAGAUGAUGACCACAUCAAGGAGAUACCAAGGAUGGGAGAUUCCCUUCACCUAAGCUCUGAAGACAAUAGCAAACCAGAGCACCCAAAUGAUGCCAAAGAAUUUUCAGGUGGUGGUGGAACUGCAGAAGAGAACAGCACUAGUGUUGAUAUGCCAGUGCAGGAUCUUGCAAAGGAUGGAUCAAGUGAACCAGGCCAUCCUGAUAAGAGAGCAGGCCUUGUAGAAUUAAUCUGUCAUCUCAAUGCAGAUGGGGCUCUCCAAGAACCAGCUGUACAGCUGGAUGCAACUGAAGGUCAAUUGGUCCAUAAUAAAGAGGACAUUGAUGUUCUUUGGGCCAAGGAGUCUGGCAUGGGAACCAAUUUGAUGGUUGAAGAGUUCAGAGCAGAGGAAACUAAUGACAAGAAGGAUGUUUCCAUUGAAUUGGAUGCUACUGCUACUCAAAUUGAAUCAGGUGUCACAGACAAAGGUGAUAAAAAGCAGGAGGCUAGUGAUCUUAGCUACAUUUUUGAACCUGGAUGCAUUCUUGUGGAGUAUGCAAGAACAGAAGCUUCUUGCAUGGCAGCACAUUGUCUCCAUAGGCGGCCUUUUGGGAAUCGGAAUGUAGAGGUAGGUUAUGUAGCUCAUGAUCUCUAUCUGGCAAUGUUUCCAAAAUGAGCACAUCCACAAUAGGUGCUACUUCGUGACAUCACUGACAUGAGGUUUGAUUGGUCCACCUUGUUCCCGGAGAGUUCCCUCUUUUUGUUGGGUGUCUUGUUACGUGUUCUUAACAAAAAGUGAAAGCUUGUCAGUUGGCCUGACUUCUCUUUGGGAGUGUGGUCUGAUCUCAGAUAACCGGUUGCUGACUGGGUUCUAGAGCUGAUCUUGUGGAAAAUAUUAGCUGAGAGCUCGAGGUCCUUUUAGCUGUUGUGAUAUAAUCAAUAUUCACGACGUUGAAUGCAUCGCCACUUUCUUUGUAUCCUUAUAAUGAUAAUUUCUCGGGUUCCCAUGAUCGAUCACAACGUACGAGUUCACCGGGAGCAGCGUAUGAACUCACAGGCAGCAUUUUCACUGUUUUGUUUUCCCAUUAUUUCAUCGGCAUUGUAGCCAACGUUUUCACACUACCUCCCCUGUGAAUUAAGCGGACAAGUUGAUUCAGAAAACGAAUCAAUAAAAGCACUGAAAUCAAAAGCGAAGAACCCCUUGUGAGUUGUGACGUUUGGUGAUUGCCACUUUUAUCUGCAAUGAUUUAGUUUGGUCAAUGCAAAUUUUAUGAGAA